GGGGGUAUAGCUCAGUGGUAGAGCACGUGCUUAGCAUGCACGAGGCCCUGGGUUCAAUUCCCAGUACCUCCA
rfam:Loxodonta africana unplaced genomic scaffold scaffold_143, whole genome shotgun sequence.